GUCCCCGUCGUCCAACGGCAGGAUGCCGGGCCCUCAACUCGGCGACGGUGGGUUCGAAUCCCCCCGGGGACG
rnacentral:tRNA from 1 species